CAGUAGCCACGGUAAUACGUAGGUGGCAAGCGUUGUCCGGAAUUAUUGGGCGUAAAGGGCUCGCAGGCGGUUCCUUAAGUCUGAUGUGAAAGCCCCCGGCUCAACCGGGGAGGGUCAUUGGAAACUGGGAAACUUGAGUGCAGAAGAGGAGAGUGGAAUUCCACGUGUAGCGGUGAAAUGCGUAGAGAUGUGGAGGAACACCAGUGGCGAAGGCGACUCUCUGGUCUGUAACUGACGCUGAGGAGCGAAAGCGUGGGGAGCGAACAGGAUUAGAUACCCCGGUAGUCCCUGUCUCUUAUAC
rnacentral:rRNA from 1 species